GCNAGAGUCUUGUAGAGGGNGGUAGAAUUCCAGNUGUAGCGGUGAAAUGCGUAGAGAUCNGGAGGAAUAUCGGUGGCGAAGGCGGCCCCCNGGACAAAGACUGACGCUCAGAUGCGAAAGCGUGGGUAGCAAACANGAUUAGAUACCCUGGUAGUCCACGCNGUAAACGAUGUCUACUUGAAGGUUNGGAUCUUGAAUUCUNGCCUUCGGAGCUAACGCGUUAAGUAGACCGCCUGGGGAGUACGGUCGCAAGAUUAAAACUCAAAUGANNNNNCNGGGGCCCGCACAAGCGGUGGAGCAUGUGGUUUAAUUCGAUGCAACGCGAAGAACCUUACCUACUCUUGACAUCCAGAGAAGCCAGCAGAGAUGCAGGUGUGCCUUCGGGAACUCUGAGACAGGUGCUGCAUGGCUGUCGUCAGCUCGUGUUGUGAAAUGUUGGGUUAAGUCCCGCAACGAGCGCAACCCUUAUCCUUGUUUGCCAGCACGUAAUGGUGGGAACUCCAGGGAGACUGCCGGUGACAAACCGGAGGAAGGUGGGGACGACGUCAAGUCAUCAUGGCCCUUACGAGUAGGGCUACACACGUGCUACAAUGGUGCAUACAGAGGGAAGCAAGAGCGCGAGCUGGAGCGGAUCCCAAAAAGUGCAUCGUAGUCCGGAUUGGAGUCUGCAACUCGACUCCAUGAAGUCGGAAUCGCUAGUAAUCGUGGAUCAGAANNCCACGGUGAAUACGUUCCCGGGCCUUGUACACACCGCCCGAUCUUGCUGAAAAA
rnacentral:rRNA from 1 species